ACUCAAAUGAAUUGACGGGGACCCGCACAAGCGGUGGAUCAUGCGGUUUAAUUCGAUACUAAACGAGGAACCUUACCCAGGCUUGACAUCCUAAGAACUCCCUGGAAACAGGGAGGUGCCCGCAAGGGAGCUUAGAGACAGGCGUUGCAUGGUUGUCGUCAGCUCGUGCCUUGAGGUGUUCGGUUAAGUCCGUUAACGAGCGCAACCCAUGUCGUUAGUUACUAUGUCUAACGAGACUGCCCGAGUUAAUCGGGAGGAAGGUGUGGAUGACGUCAAAUCAGCAUGACCCUUAUGCCUGGGGCUACACGCAUGAUACAAUGGUCGGUACAAUGGGUCGCAAUCACGCGAGUGAGAGCCAAUCCCUUAAAGCCGAUCCCAGUCCGGAUUGGAGUCUGCAACUCGACUCCAUGAAGUUGGAAUCGCUAGUAAUCGUGAAUCAGCUAUGUCACGGUGAAUAUGUUCCCGGGUCUUGUACACACCGCCCGU
rnacentral:rRNA from 1 species